rnacentral:lncRNA from 1 species
CCACAUCAGAGAGCAUCUAGGCAGCAGGGAUAACAGGGAAAGACAACUUCUGAGUGUCAGAGUCUGGAGGAUUCCUACCUUGGCUGUGGUGACUCUGCGGGAUCCAGGACUGUGCUCACCACUGUUCUCCAAUCAUUGUGGGACACUGUAGUGCCCUCUGUGGCUCAAUGAACACUGUACAUCUAAUAUAGCUCAAUAUGCUAUUUUUUCAUAAUUCUGAAAUAUUUUAUCAGCAAGUUUGACAAUUCUGAAAGAGUCUUUUUCUCUUUUUAUUUGUGUGGCAGAAAGGAACCAAUCAAGUUAAAUUUGUACAAGAUAAGGAGAGGGAUACAGCAGUAUGUUUCCAACUGUAAAACAAAAGAACUCACUAUGUUGUACAGCCAGUUAGUGCAUGUUCUCGGUACCUGGCUCAUAAGCGAUGCUCCAGACAAUGAUACAACUGACAGUGACCACAAAGCAAGUCUUGGAAGAAUCCAUUGUAUUUGAACCACAGCCUUGCUUUCUUUUCUUCAAAGCACCUUUAUUUUGUAACUCUUUUCUGAAUUAACAUCAUCCUGGAAGUCCCGUUAAGAAAGUCCAGUUGAAAAGAUGCCAAAAAGCAGCCAUGACCAUUUCUUCAUGUCAAGCACAAGCCAGAAGUAAAACUCAGUGUGUUACUUGAAUUCGUUUUGUUUGAUGUUUGGGAUAUGACUUGAUUUUUCAUUUAUUUUUAUAAACUAAAAUUUUGUUUCUUAAGUCAAACACAGGAGGGGUACAAAGAGGUCACUACAGGGGAAAGUAUUUUUUCCAAAGCUGUCAUUGAUGAUUUUGUAUUUAUUCACCAUGGGAGGGCUUUAAUAACUGCAUUGCUUUGUUGAUUGCACUGGUCUUUCUUCUGAAUACCUAGGCAAGGCUCUUUCAUCUUACUCACACAUUGCUCAAUGUUGGAUCAAUGCCAAAUUCCCCACCUUCAUGAAUGAUUAACUCAUGUAGCCUGUUGCUAAUAAUGUGUGCACUUGAUGGCAGAUGAUAUUUAUUUUGGACAGAGUGAAUGCAGACCUUGGAUGUUUGAUCAGGACGUGGUGGCACAUAGUGUGUGUGGCCACACUUUCCAGGGAAAAGAACACAGUCCAAAUCUUCAGGUUGCCCCCCAUCUUCCCUUUGCACUGUCACAGGAAGGGAGUUUUCAAUUCACUUUAUCAUUCACAAGUUACCAACUCAGCCUUGUCAUUGUGAUUCGUCACACUUACACUAUAUCCUUUUAUGUGCUGUAUCUCACUGAUGUCUCCACACACCAGGCUGGUGCCACAGGGUAUACGUCUACAACAAAGAUCUCAAACAUAGUUUAAAAGGAAACACCAUAAAAGAGAAAAAUAACGGUCACAGUUGCUACUAGAGGCUGGUUCCCACAAACCCAGCAGGUUUUCCAACUUCAACCACAGCUGAAUUACAACGACAGCUAUCAACUCAGCAGCUUUGGGUCUGAUUUUGAGUAGUCCCACUAUGGCAUUAUCUUUUCUUCUUCUUCUUCUUUUAUAGUAAUGCCCUCCUACCUAACCUUCUAAACUAAGAGGUAGAAAGAACAAAGUUCCUUUUUCUUCCUUUAGCUCGCUGGCGGAAUCUAUGAAGAGCAGAUGGAGCAGCCUACCUGACUGCCAAAAAGAGCGAUGAUUCUGUCCUCAGCCAUGACGUGGAGCCACACUACCCAUCUGGCAGAUUCACAUAACUCAGCAUUGAUAACUCCAUUCUGAUCAAGUCUGGCCAUACCCGAGCUGCAUGAUUCUUCAGUGUGCCCUGCAUGCGACUCACCUCGGGAACAUGUUAGAAACUCACAUACCUGGAAGACCACCCCUGGAGACUCACAGUCAGUAGGUGGAAGAUAAGGUGUCAGCCAGCCUGGUCUUUUAUCUGGAGGCUGUUGGGGAGGAGGUAGAGAAAUCUGCUUAUAAGUAGAACCCAAUAUCUAGUGGCUGGGAGGCUGCAGUCCCUAUUUCCUGGCUAGCUAUGCUCUACCAGCAUCUCUCAGCUCCUUAAAGCCACCUGUGUUCCUUGUCAUGCUGUCCUUUCCAUCCCAAGACAGCAAAGGAUAAAUUGGGCUUGAAACUUGAUGGCAAGACUUCAAGCAACUAUUGAACCAAUGGCUUCUCAUUUUACUAUUUUAGAUAGUAAGCUGCUAAGUACAAUGUUCAUGGGGCGUUAAUGUUGCUUUGUUCAGCAACCAACAGAGAUGAGGGCAUAGGUAAGUGCUUAAUAAGAAUACCUAACAAUUAUUUUGAAUAUUGGAAUACUUAUGAGCAGAAGAGUUACGCUAAAAUUUCUCUCAUCCACUGUCUUUGCAAAUAUGCAGGCAGAUAAUGAUCAUUUGGGUCAUCUCAUUGAUUAUAUGAGCAUAUAUAGAACACAUGUAUUUUCUCUCUUAUUUCCAAAAUAGAUGAAGAUGCAAAAUCCCUUUGAACUGGGGUGGUCGUGGUGGGAAAAUGUUUUUAAUACAUUGCUUUUCUUUGAACAUUUUGUUUUUUUUCCAACCAGCAAUAUAAAUCUACUCCAUUUUCAUUUCUUUAGUGGGAAAAGGCUUAUUAGAAAAAAAAAUGGAUAAUGGCAAAACUUAGGAAAGCAAUUAGCUUUGUAUAAAACACAAUGUACCGUAGUAGUGUAUACAAAUUCUAAAUAAGGCUUUUUAGUUUAGAGCAACCAAAACACUUAUGCCAACCUAAAAAUAACUUUCUUCUCAUUACUAUGAACACACAGUUAGCAACACCUAGAAGGACAAGGAAAAACAACCCAUAAAUGGUUUCAUAGAUGUCCUGCAGAGAGGUUGAAUUGUAAAUUGUAUGUUUUUAAUUAUACGCAUUAAUGUCUGCUAGAAAAAAGUGCCCAAUAACAAUGCUUUCUCAAAGGUAAUAAUACUCCAAAAUAAGCUCCAAGAUAAUCACUUAACUGUGUAUUAUAUAGGAGGUCUUUGAAGCAGUGGAACAUUUUCUAAUUAUCCAGAAAAUACGCUUAGAGUGCAUGAAAACUUUAUUCUUGAAUUUUGUUCUUUAGGGUGGUAUGGCUAUAGCUUCACCACCCAUAAUGCAUGGUCUGGCUAAUGGGAAAUAGUCCUGCUUAAUGUGCAGUACUUAAAUAAACAAAGAAUUAAGAAUCAUUCUCACACAUUGGAGAAUGAGCAAGGCUUACUUGUGAUUUAAGUGCCAUAUGUAAGGUCCAUGCAACACUAUAAAUAUCUCUCAACCUCCUCACUCCCCAUUUCAGAAUAUAAUACCAUUAAGUUUUCCUUUCUUCGAAUAAUUUAUUUUCUUCCCUUUAAAUUCAGUACCAGUUUAGAACAAUCUUACUCAUCAUUCUCAUUAUAAUGGAAUAAGUCUAUAGAUCAUUUCCAAACUGAAAGUUAACUAAUGUGCCUGCUGUGGAUCAUAUUUCAGAGGAGAGUGGAUGGAUGGGAAAGUUGAGAGCUUGAGUAACCAGGAGGGCUGGAUGGUUAAUUCCACUGGUUAAUUCUGGCAAACUGAAAGUUGUAGAAAGACCCUGGUUACCUGAGGGGCACGAAAGGUGGAACAAACAACAAAAUACAUUCCUUUUCUUAUUUCUUGGACGCUAAAGCUGUUUUAAAGACUUUGUAUAUGUAUCAAAGUAGUAGCACAAUUCUGCAGCUUUAUCUAUCACAAGUUUCAAUUUCAUCACAAGAUUUCUCUAGAGCCUCGAGUCUUCUGCCUCAUUUGGUACAAGUUCCCAUUCCUGCAAAGGUUUUAACCAGGUCUUCCUACAUUCCCAUCUUGAUCUUCCAAACAUAGGCUUUCUUUCUUUAAAAUUCUCUCUUCCUCAGUCUUGUAAAGUGAAACCCAUGUUUUCCCAGGCCAUGGAUGCCUGCGGGUUAUAAGAUAAAAACAACAACACUAAAAAUUACAUAUAUAUAUAUAUAUAUAUAUCCCCACCUGUCCUUUGGAAGCUGUAGUCCGUAAAAACAUUUCUUCUAGGCCAGGUACAGAGACUCACGCCUGUAAUCCCAGCACUUUGGGAGGCCGAGGCAGGAGGUUCACUUGAGCCCAGGAGCUCAAGGCUGCAGUGAACUAUGAUCACACAAGUGCACUCCAGCCUGGGUGACAUAGAAAAAGACCUUGUCUUGAAAAAAAGUAACAAAUAAAAAUAAAAUAAAUGUCUCCCAAAUGGUUCCGGGAGUCUAGAGAAUGAAACUCUAUAUUUAACGCUCAAAGCUAAAUCUUUUGAACUCAAUAUCUUGCUUAAUACAAAGUAAGGACCUAGUAAAUAUACGUCAUUUGGCUGUCUUGCUGACCAUAAAGGUAAGCCAUGAUAAUAUAUAAAUAUAUUCACUUAAUCACUCCUAUAUCUAAUUACAUGAAUUUAGGAAAACGACCCAACAGAUUCAGAAACAAGUGACUGAGUCUUGAAAAAGAUUAUUCAGACCAAUCAGAAUCUCUCUUAAAGUUAUAAAAUGAAUAUACAUAUAUAUACACAUAAAUAAAUAUACAUAUAUAUAUACAUAAAUAAUCAUUAUGCCACUCAUGAAUAAGUAACAAAUGGAAAGAUCACAAUACGGAUGGAUUAUAAAGGAUCCAGUGAAACACAGGUUAAACAUAGGUAUAGUUACAAAGUAAUGAUAGAAAAUUAUUCUUAAUUGACAUUGAUUGAGUACUGACCACGUCCUCUCCCUCAUUUGAUCUUUACAAAAAUCCUAUGAGGUAGGUAAAAUUAUUAUUUUAUCUGCAGAGAAGAAGAAAUAGAAGCUUACAGAAGUGAAGUGCUUAGCCCAAGGUCUAAGACUCAAAACCCAAUUUGUCUGAUGAGAAGACUGAGCUCUUAACAAACUAUAAGCUACUGUAUCAGAGAAACUAUUUAGCGAUAGUGAUAGAAAUAAGAAAUUCUUCAGAAUGUAGACACUAAUUUAAACUGUGAAACCCUACUAUGAAGAUGACUGAAUUGAGGUCUUUACAGUCACCAGGGACCCAGUAUCCUUGUAACUCCCUCCAGUCUCUGCAAAAACCUACUAAAGCUUUUGCUUUUGAAUAUUCAUGAUAUCUUAUUCUUUUUCUCACAGUACCUGUAUAGUUCAAGUUGCUGGGGACUUUAGUGGAUCUCAGAUUUUUUAUAACAUAGUACCCUGCCAAAACUGGUCCAGGAUUGUCUUACUGUGCUCAGGAAGUUGUCCCUUCAGCUACUGUCAUUCCCCUUUUCUCCUGGUCUGGAUCUUACCAGUGAUAUCAAAACCAUUGUAAGGUCUCCCAUCCUGAUCUGCCAAGUAUACUCUCCAUUUUAUCCCAAAUCAUCAAUGCUGCAAAGAAAUCUCUAAGACUGACCACAGUGAAAUACUAUUCCCAAUUUUUCUGGAUUCCAGUUGUCAGCUGAUCCAUUUUUCAGACGUUGUGACAUUUUCAUGCUCAAUAGAAAGCCUGAAUAGGGACCCCACCCUUCUACUCACCCCUGUUCCCCUAAUCUCAGUAGGACAGAGGUUGCAAAGUCCUAUUGCCUUGGGCUUCCAAAAUCUUUCAGAGAUUCUAAUGAAAGAGCUCUUUCAGCUUUUAGUCAGUCUUUGCCAUCUUCCCCCUACUUCCCUGGGAGCCAGGCACGAGGCCAAUGGAGCCAGGGGACAAUCUGAGUGAGCAAUACCCAAACCCAUACAGGAUUCAAAAUUUCCCCUCUCUUCUAACACUGACCCAUUGUCCUUGGAACAUAUUUGGGCGCCUCUUGGGAGUUACUUCUUUGUUAUAUUAUAUAUGCCAGUUGAAAGAUUAAGAAAGGGCAUUUAAGGUUAAGUCCUACGAUGCACUAUAAUUGAUGGUGAGAAUGUGGCUUGAGUGGGAAGUUAAGAGAAUCUGUCUCUGUCAUGACAGAUAAUUUGAGUGAGGGCUGGGAAUCUCACAGGUGAAGCAAGGUCAGACCAGAGCGAGAGGUUCUCAAUUACAGUUUCAGUAGUGGAACUCAUUUUUUUAAUUAGUAAAUUACUAUGAAAAACUUCAGUAUAUAAAAAACUUGGAAACAAAGUUUGGCAAUAACACUUCUAUUUCUAUUUCAACCAUCUCUUCUUGUUCUCUACCAACUACCAUAUUCCAAUAGGGACUGCUCUAGUAUAUAGUAGUAGAAUAAGUAAGAGAAAAUAACAUUUACCGAGAUAUUAUCAUGCAUCAAGAGUUACAUACAUUACCAUAUCUAAUAUUUAUAGAGCACCCUUUUACAUAAAACCAAAGCAAGGCACAGAGAAAUAAAAUAAUACUGACCACAUGACUUUGGUCUUCUCUUAACCAUUAUAUAUUAUUUUCAGAGUAAACUACCCACAGGACAUGCUGACAUUUUAAAAUAAUUAUCUAGUAUAAAACUAACUUCACUUUAGAAAGAAGUAAUUAUUAUUAUGAAGCAUAAUUCAUAUGUUACAUGGAAUUUCAUUUGUGAUGAAGCUAAAAAAUACAAGAGCCGCCUUGAAAUAAUGUUUUUGAGAUGUGAUUAAAUCACUUGUGUAUGACUCUAUGUGGUAAUGUUUUUUACGUUAAAUGUGCAGAAAAAAUUCUGCUUGUGUCUGUAUUUUAUAUACCUGUAUUAUAAACCCAAUUUUCAAAUAUCUGGCUUACUUAAAGAGGAGUUGCUUGUAUUAUACUAGAAGAUAAAAAUUGGUGUGAGUGAAAUUUGUAAAUUCUGAACAUCUGAACUUAAAAUACAUAUAUAUUUAUAUAUUACAUGUAAGUUAUAUUUAUUAUAUUAAGAGUCAAAGAAUAAUAAAAAAAUUGGGGGGAUUAAACUCUAAUUACAGGAAUUGCUUGGAAGAUAUUUUAUACUGUAGGAAAAAAGGCAACUAGCAUUGAGCUCAUAUUGUAUAACUAGUUGGAUAAAAGUGAGAACUGUAUAUAACAUUAUUUCAAAGUUCCCAAGGUCGCCUCUUUAGUUCUCUUUUAACAUGUAUGCAUUUCUUAUUGAUGCUUUAUGUUCAAUUUUUUUUAUUAAA